UACGUAGGGUGCAAGCGUUAAUCGGAAUUACUGGGCGUAAAGCGUGCGCAGGCGGUUUUGUAAGUCUGUCGUGAAAUCCCCGGGCUUAACCUGGGAAUUGCGAUGGAGGCUGCAAGGCUAGAAUCUGGCAGAGGGGGGUAGAAUUCCACGUGUAGCAGUGAAAUGCGUAGAGAUGUGGAGGAACACCGAUGGCGAAGGCAGCCCCCUGGGUCAAGAUUGACGCUCAUGCACGAAAGCGUGGGGAGCAAACAGG
rnacentral:rRNA from 1 species